rnacentral:rRNA from 1 species
CCUACGGGAGGCAGCAGUAGGGAAUAUUGCACAAUGGGGGAAACCCUGAUGCAGCAACGCCGCGUGGAUGAAGAAGGAUUUAGGUAUGUAAAGCUCUAUCGGCAGAGAAGAAAAUGACGGUACCUGAUUAAUAAGCCCCGGCUAACUCCGUGCCAGCAGCCGCGGUAAUACGGAGGGGGCAAGCGUUAUCCGGAUUUACUGGGGGUAAAGGGUGCGUAGACGGAAUAACAAGUCUGGAGUGAAAUGCCGGGGCUUAACCCCGGAACUGCUUUUGAAACUGUGACGCUAGAGUGUAGGAGAGGUAAGUGGAAUUCCUAGUGUAGCGUUGAAAUGCGUAGAUAUCAGGAGGAAUACUAGUGGCGAAGGCGGCUUACUGGACCGUAACUGACGUUGAUGCUCGAAAGCGUGGGGAGCAAACAGGAUUAGAUACCCUAGUAGUC